GGUGAUCUACCCAUGUCCAGGAUGAAGGUAAGGUAAUACUUACUGGAGGUCCGAACCCACGCACGUUGAAAAGUGCGGGGAUGAGGUGUGGGUAGCGGAGAAAUUCCAAUCGAACUUGGAGAUAGCUGGUUCUCUCCGAAAUAGCUUUAGGGCUAGCCUCGAGGUAAAGAGUCAUGGAGGUAGAGCACUGUUUGGACUAGGGGCCCUUCUCGGGUUACCGAAUUCAGAUAAACUCCGAAUGCCAUGUACUUAUACUCGGGAGUCAGACUGCGAGUGAUAAGAUCCGUAGUCGAAAGGGAAACAGCCCAGACCACCAGUUAAGGUCCCCAAAUAUAUGUUAAGUGGAAAAGGAUGUGGGGUUGCUUAGACAACCAGGAUGUUGGCUUAGAAGCAGCCACCAUUGAAAGAGUGCGUAAUAGCUCACUGGUCGAGUGACCCCGCGCCGAAAAUGUACCGGGGCUAAACAUAUUACCGAAACUGUGGAUGAACCUCUUUAGAGGUUCGUGGUAGGAGAGCGUUCUAAGGGCGGUGAAGUCAGACCGGAAGGACUGGUGGAGCGCUUAGAAGUGAGAAUGCCGGUAUGAGUAGCGAAAGAAGGGUGAGAAUCCCUUCCACCGAAUAUCUAAGGUUUCCUGAGGAAGGCUCGUCCGCUCAGGGUUAGUCGGGACCUAAGCCGAGGCCGAUAGGCGUAGGCGAUGGACAACAGGUAGAGAUUCCUGUACCAGUGCUAAUUGUUUAACCGAUGGGGUGACACAGAAGGAUAGGGAAUCGCACGAAUGGAAAUGUGCGUCCAAGCAGUGAGUGUGAGAAGUAGGCAAAUCCGCUUCUCGCGAAGCAUGAGCUGUGAUGGGGAAGGAAAUUAAGUACGGAAGUUCCUGAUUUCACGCUGUCAAGAAAAGCCUCUAGGAAGAGUAGUACUGCCCGUACCGCAAACCGACACAGGUAGAUGAGGAGAGAAUCCUAAGGUGAGCGAGAGAACUCUCGUUAAGGAACUCGGCAAAAUGACCCCGUAACUUCGGGAGAAGGGGUGCUCUAUUAGGGUGCAAGCCCGAGAGAGCCGCAGUGAAUAGGCCCAGGCGACUGUUUAGCAAAAACACAGGUCUCUGCAAAACCGUAAGGUGACGUAUAGGGGCUGACGCCUGCCCGGUGCUGGAAGGUUAAGAGGAGUGCUUAGCUUCGGCGAAGGUACGAAUUGAAGCCCCAGUAAACGGCGGCCGUAACUAUAACGGUCCUAAGGUAGCGAAAUUCCUUGUCGGGUAAGUUCCGACCCGCACGAAAGGCGCAACGAUCUGGGCACUGUCUCAACGAGAGACUCGGUGAAAUUAUAGUACCUGUGAAGAUGCAGGUUACCCGCGACAGGACGGAAAGACCCCGUGGAGCUUUACUGCAACCUGAUAUGGAAUGUUUGUACCGCUUGUACAGGAUAGGUAGGAGCCGAAGAGACGUGUGCGCUAGCAUACGAGGAGGCAAUGGUGGGAUACUACCCUGGCUGUAUGACCAUUCUAACCCGCCACGCUUAGCGCGUGGGGAGACAGUGUCAGGUGGGCAGUUUGACUGGGGCGGUCGCCUCCUAAAGAGUAACGGAGGCGCCCAAAGGUUCCCUCAGAAUGGAUGGAAAUCAUUCGCAGAGUGUAAAGGCACAAGGGAGCUUGACUGCGAGACUGACAAGUCGAGCAGGGACGAAAGUCGGGCUUAGUGAUCCGGUGGUUCCGCAUGGAAGGGCCAUCGCUCAACGGAUAAAAGCUACCCCGGGGAUAACAGGCUUAUCUCCCCCAAGAGUCCACAUCGACGGGGAGGUUUGGCACCUCGAUGUCGGCUCGUCGCAUCCUGGGGCUGUAGUCGGUCCCAAGGGUUGGGCUGUUCGCCCAUUAAAGCGGCACGCGAGCUGGGUUCAGAACGUCGUGAGACAGUUCGGUCCCUAUCCGUCGCGGGCGCAGGAAAUUUGAGAGGAGCUGUCCUUAGUACGAGAGGACCGGGAUGGACACACCGCUGGUGUACCAGUUGUUCCGCCAGGAGCAUCGCUGGGUAGCUAUGUGUGGCAGGGAUAAACGCUGAAAGCAUCUAAGCGUGAAGCCCCCCUCAAGAUGAGAUUUCCCAUUUCUUCGGAAAGUAAGAUCCCUGAAAGAUGAUCAGGUAGAU
rnacentral:rRNA from 1 species